rnacentral:rRNA from 1 species
AACCCUGUCCUUAGUUACCAGCACGGUUAUGUGGGCACUCUAAGGAGACUGCCGGUGACAAACCGGAGGAAGUGGGGAUGACGUCAAGUCAUCAUGGCCCUUACGGCCUGGGCUACACACGUGCUACAAUGGUCGGUACAAAGGGUUGCCAAGCCGCGAGGUGGAGCUAAUCCCAUAAAACCGAUCGUAGUCCGGAUCGCAGUCUGCAACUCGACUGCGUGAAGUCGGAAUCGCUAGUAAUCGUGAAUCAGAAUGUCACGGUGAAUACGUUCCCGGGCCUU